rnacentral:rRNA from 1 species
UACGGAGGGAGCUAGCGUUAUUCGGAAUUACUGGGCGUAAAGCGCACGUAGGCGGCUUUGUAAGUAAGAGGUGAAAGCCCGGAGCUCAACCCUUGGAUGCCGGUGGAUACUGCAGGGCUAGAGUCCGGAAGAGGCGAGUGGAAUUCCUGGUGUAGCGGUGAAAUGCGCAGAUAUCAGGAGGAACACCAAUGGCGAAGGCAGCUCGCUGGGACGGUACUGACGCUGAGGCGCGAAAGCGUGGGGAGCAAACGGG